CUGGAUUGUGACGAUCAAGCAUUUGUUGUGACAUCGCUUUAUGAUCCUUCGAUGUAGGCUCUUCUUAUCAUUGUUAAGCAGAAUUCACAAAGUGUUGCAUUGUUCACCCUGUAACAGGGAGCGUGAGGUGGGAUUAGACCAUUGUGAGACAGGUU
rnacentral:ncRNA from 1 species